AAUCAACGCUGGCGGCACGCUUAACACAUGCAAGUCGAACGAGAAAGCUUCCUUCGGGAGGUUAGUAAAGUGGCGGACGGGUGAGUAACACGUGGGUAAUCUGCCCUUGAGUGGGGAAUAACUUUGGGAAACCGAAGAUAAUACCGCAUACGACCCUUCGGGGUGAAAGCUUUAUGCGCUCAAGGAUGAGCCCGCGGUCGAUUAGUUAGUUGGUGGGGUAAUGGCUCACCAAGGCAGCGAUCGAUAUCCGGCCUGAGAGGGCACACGGACACACUGGCACUGAGACACGGGCCAGACUCCUACGGGAGGCAGCAGUGGGGAAUCUUGGACAAUGGGGGAAACCCUGAUCCAGCGAUGCCGCGUGACCGAUGAAGGCCCUCGGGUCGUAAAGGUCUUUCGAUGGGGACUAUAAUGAAGGUACCCAUAAAAGCAGGAGCGCUAACUA
rnacentral:rRNA from 1 species